rnacentral:tRNA from 1 species
UCCCAGGUGGCUCAGUGGUAAAGAAUCUGCCUGCCAAGCAGGAGACACAGGAUGGGAUUCCUGAAUUGGGAA